AUGUACCCUUAUACUUGUUUGUACGUAAUAUCAUAUAUUCAUUUAUUUUUUUUUAUUUUUUAUUUUUUUUUUUUUUUUAUGACAAAAUGUAGCAUGAAAAGUUUCUACGAUAGCCAAAUAAACACACUCGAAGAAAUGGAAAAAAAAGAACAGACGGCUACAAAAGAACAAAAAGAAAAAAAGAACGAAGAAGAUAUAAUCUAUGAUGAAGCAUUAAAAAACUGUAAAACAGAAGAAGAAAAUAGUUCUAAACUUUUAAUAAAUGGAGCUAAAACAUUAUGGAUUAGUUUCCAUAAUCCACCAGUUAAUAACAUAGAUACAAAUGAGUGGAUUGAUAGUGAUAUGUAUUGGCAAGCUUUUAUUGAAAAACACAGUGUUUAUAAUUUAAAUAAUAAAAGUUUAGAACCAGAAGAUGAAGAAAAUAGGAAUUUGCAAAAAACAGAAUGGCAUAAAAAAACAAAUAAAUUUAAUGAAAGAAGUGAUACACCUAUUUUAUAUGAUUAUAUGAUAAAUUUACCAUCAUGGGAAUAUUAUGAUAUAAAUAGAAGAAUAUUUUUAGAAAAUUUAAUUUAUUUUUUAUUAAGAACAGGAUUAAAUUAUAAAUUUUUUCCUGAAUUGUUCAGUUGGAAAUGGAAAACACAUAUAGAAGAUUUACGUUAUGAAUUUAUUGAUGUAGCUCAAAAAAAAAGAAAAUCGUAUCAACUAGCUAACUUAAAAAGAGAAGUACCUUUAGAUUUACAGCCAGUUGAUUAUGAACAUAAAGGAGAAGAAUAUCAUUUAAAAUUAUUAACACAUUUUAAAGACUAUCAAAAUUUAGUUUUAUCGAGAUUAAUGGCUAGUUAUAUAUUUUUAUGUCAACCAUAUAUACCUAUUCAAACAAAAGAAGCACUAGAAAAAGUUUUAAGUUUGCACAAAAAUGGUAAACUAUAUAAACUAAACAUUACCGAAGUUAAUUGUUUGUUUUAUUUACCUGACUUUUCUGAUGGGUCAGAAAAUAAGAAUAAUUCUACUGAUAAAAAUUAUAUCACAUACAAACCAUUAGAUGCUAUAAACACUUUUUAUCAACACUUAGAACAUAAAAAUAUCCUCUUAAAUGAAUCAUAUUCUAAACUAUUAUCUAUAUUUUCACAAAUAUUACAAGAAAGGGGUGACCAUUGGUUAAAAACACCUAAUGAACAUAUUGCUGAUUCCUUUUUAAGAAGAUAUAAUAAAAAUGACGAAUUAUAUCCUGUCUUUGUUGAAUAUGUUACACAAUUAAAAAAUAAUUUUAACAAUAAAAUAGAAAUUAAGAAAAAUGAUUAUACAAAAGAAAUUGAAAAUGUUGAACAAAAAUAUAAAAACGAAUGUAUUUUUUUCCAAAAUUUUGUUCAAACCUUUUUACCAUCAGAUAUUUCUCUAAUUCCUGAUGAAGAUAUUAUUCCAGAUUUAACAAAACUUAAUGAAAAGGAAAUUCAAAAAUUAAUAAAUGAAAAAAAAAUUAAAAUAUUUGAUGAAGAAACAAAUCAACUAAUUGUAGAUCCAAAAAAAAUUCAAGAACAUGCAUUAAAUAAUGAAAUUAACAAACAAGAAAUUCAGGAGUUCCUUAAGUCAUUAUCAUCUUGA
ensembl:lncRNA